rnacentral:rRNA from 1 species
CCUACGGGAGGCAGCAGUCGGGAAUAUUUGACAAUGGGGGGAACCCUGAUCCAGCGACGCCGCGUGAGUGAAGAAGUAUUUCGGUAUGUAAAGCUCUAUCAGCAGGUAAGCAAGAAAUGACGAUACCUGACUAAGAAGCCCCGGCUAACUACGUUCCAGCAGCCGCAGUAAUACGUAGGGGGCAAGCGUUAUUCGGAUUUACUGGGUGGAAAGGGAACGUAGACGGUUACGCAAGUCUGGAGGUAAUGGCGGGGGGCCAAACCCCGGACUGCUUUGGAAACUGUAUAACUGGAGUGCAGGAGAGGUAAGCGGAAUUCCUAGUGUAGCGGUGAAAUGCGUAGAUAUUAGGAGGAACACCAGUGGCGAAGGCGGCUUACUGGAAUGUAACUGACGUUGAGGCUCGAAAGCGUGGGGAGCAAACAGGAUUAGAUACCCGAGUAGUC